GUCCCAGUGGCUCAGUGGUAGAGCAUCUGAUAAAUGUGAACUGGAUCCCGUAUGGAAUCUAAAUAUUGUCAAAAGGUCAGGGUUCGAAUCCCUGCUGGGACU